ensembl:lncRNA
ACUCUGUCCUGGCUGAAAGACAACGUGUCCGUGGCCACACAGGUGUGUUCAGUAGCCAGCUUCGAGGGGCUGGAAGCGGCCAGGAGGUGUCAGCACACUCUGGAACGAGACAUCCUCACCAACAGAGCCAGGAUAGAGGUGGUCAAAAGGGAGGGCCGAGGGCUUGUCCGUGCACAGCACCCCGGCAGCGCCAAGAUCGAGGAGUUCCUCAGCCAGCUGGAAGUCCUGUGGGAAGAACUGCGGAGGAGGCACCAGAGGAACGCUGUGUUUCUGCAGGCCUCAGAGGAGCUUGGCUUUCGGGUUGUAAAAGUGCUGCAGGCCCUGGGCAGCCUUGAGGCCUGGCUAGAGUCCGUGGAGCUUUCCAUGAAGGAAUCGGCGCCUCGCCGGUGACCCCGAAACGAUGAGCAUGGCUGAGAGGGAGAGCUGUCUGCUGGAGAAAGAGGUGGCAGCACGCAGCCUGGAGCUCGGUGCUCUGAGGCAAGAGGUGGACGGCCUCCACGGCCACAGUCACCCACUCACACAGAGGCUGCCAGCACGCAUGGCGGAGGUGGAAAGAAAGUACCACUGUGUCCAGAGUGCCCUGACCCAGCAGAGCUCCGAGCUGCAGGACACGCGAAUGCUGACUGAGUUCCUGGAGCGCGUGGAGCUGGAGGAGAGCCAGGAUGGUCUCCAGUACAGCCUGGGACAGCCUCUCCAAAGUGAGAUCUCCGCAGUUCCUACAUUGCUGGAACUCCAAAGCAGUGGUGGGGCUGAGCCCCUGAUGGAGAGCAUGGGGAACCCCGUGGAGGAACUACGAGAGGCUGUAGAGAUGCUGAAUGACACUGUCAGGGAGAGGGGCCGAUCGCAGAGCCAUGACCAGGCCAUCCGGGAGCUGCUGAGCAAGCAUGCCGGCCUUGCAGUGCGCGUGGAGGAGUGCCUAUCCUGCAGCAAGGAGCUCGGCCUGGACGUCCUAGAGAGGGAGACAGACAUGGCCAUCCAGUGUGAGCCCGACCGAUGCGGCCUCGAGUCUCUGCAGGAGAAGCAGGACCACCUGGAGAUUGACUAUGAAGUCAUCAGGGAGGAGGUGAAGGAGAUGGAGGACCUGGCUGCUCGCUUGGAGGAGCUGUGCCCUGAGAGAGUGCACGUACUCGGGGCAAAGAUCCAGGCCACGCUGCAGGCCUGGAGCGAGCUGGGAAAGAGUGUGACGGAGAACAAAUCACGUCUGCAGGAAUUUGUGCAGCUCCAGGACUUCUUCAGGAGCUACCUCGCCAUGAUCUCAUGGACAGAAGACACCAGGUCAUGCAUUUUCUCAGACACCGCCUUGCAUCCCGGGAAAGAUGGGCAGAAGCCGCUGGCUGCAGAGCUGGACAUGCAGAUUGAGCUCAAGUUUGAGGAGUUUGAUGAGCUGGCGGCUGCAGGAAGGCACCUUUUAGACAAAGACCACCACCUCACACAAAUGGUGAGAGAGCGCUUGGAGGAACUGAGGAGUAUGCUUGGGUGGAUCUUGGUGCACUGGAGGGCUCAGAAGCAGCAGUGGCUUCACAAGAAGUGCAGACAGCAGCUUUCACAAGAUAACAUUUAUUGUGAGGCUACAAUGUGCUCCCCAUUCACACAGAGUUCAGCUUCUGAGCUAGACGCCUACCUGUCCCAUCCGUCCCGGCUUUACACCUUGGAAGUAGACAAAUUAAAGGCAGCAGCAGACGGCCGACCCUCGUCUCUCCUGCCCAGACAUGCUGAGCAACAGGAGCAGAGGCAGCCGGAGGAUGGGUAUGAGCUCAUGAACACUAUUGGAGCACAGGGCGGCGAGGCUUCCCCCUCCGAGUCUCCCAGGCCCUCUAUAGUGGUCCUCAAGGAGCCCGGCAGCCCCACUCUUGGGGGCACGGUCAACCUCAUCCUCAGCUUUGGUAACGCUGGCGACAGCCAGGUUCAGGUGCUUGACGCGCCCGCCAGGACGGAUGAGGUAGUGGGGGACACGUCUGAGCCUGUCCACAGGGUAAGUACCUACUUGCAUGUCAAGGAUAACAACUUGGCCGCGGCCCCUGUGUAUGAGAGUAUCACCCUGCCCCGCCAAAAGAGCCGCUGCGCAGCCUCGGCCUCUCCUACUUUCUUGCCGUCCUCGUCCUCCUCGCCAUCUUCCUCUGCGUCCGCACCUCAGGCGACCAACGUCACCUUCAACCCUCUGAUGGGGAGUGGCGGCGGCGGCGGCGGCGGCGGCGGCGGCUCCAUCUUCUGCAGCCUCAAGAGAAUGGGCAUGAAGAGAAAGAGAAAGAGAGACGCUCGCAGACACACCAUCCAGAAAAUCAUGGGGCUGGAAUCGCAAUCAGAAGGGAUGCCCCCUCAUGCAUGUGAGACGAUCACAUAUGACACACACACGUGGCCGCUGAAGGAAAGCCGGAGGAAGAAGAGUUCACCAAAGAGCCCAGCCAGCGGGGAUGGAGAAGAGGCAAUAGACUAUAUGAAGAAUCCCUUGUUGUGGGACAUUGAUACAGAGUGUUCAGGAGAAUACAGCACUAUUCCUUAUGCUGUGUCAGAGGGGCCAACCACGCUACCCUCCCCCGGUCAGGUGAGAAGCCACUGCAGGUUCCUCUCUUUGGGCUCUGUGCUGAGCUUUGACCUGCCCAAGGACAUGACUCUCAUCCCCAGCAUUCAGGACAUCAUUACUAUCGCCCCCCCGGAGUCCAAAACAGGAGCAGGGGCUGAUCCGGACCCCCACUCUCAGAGACACUCAGCACUGAGCUCUUUCAAACAGACUCGACCCGCCCCUGCCAUCACACACAGCUCAUCGGAUGUCAGCCUAACUGACACGCAGGCUUCGGCAGCUGUAGUGAGAUCUCUGCCUGACGUGGACAAGAGUUCCCAACCACCUCCUCCUCUUUCCCCGGGAGAAGAGGAGGAUCAGACUGCUCCGUACAACAGCCAAUCUAAAGCCCACUUCUGUCUGUGCAAUGCUGCGGAGCGGGAGUUGGACAAAACAUCAUCACUGGUUAAAACUAGUACAGAUGACAGGGAUGGGGUCAGCCAGCCCUCCGAGCUCCCUAUCUAUGUGAACCAAGCCCAAAGCACAGUUGGACAUAAACACGUGUGCCCUAGUGUCCACACGCUCAUUCGAGACCUGAAUGGGCACCUGUACCACAAAGGUGCAAGACCCCAUAGUAUGCAGGAAGAGGGCCCUGGGCUUCAGUGCCUGAGCCAAGCUUCUCACAUGGUGGUGAAUUUGAAGUCAACGGUGAGCGUGAGCGUUCGUCAGGACUCGGUGGACUCCGGGAUCUCCACUUCCAGCAGCAUCAAGGUUUGCUCCGAUGCACCGUGUCCAGAUGUCCCGCUGCCUAAGGGGAUAGUGGGGAGGCUCAUGUCCGUUGAGGUGGGAGGAAUAGACUGCACCAAGACGAGAGAGAGCUAUGCCACAUCUUCAGGCCCAUCUGCAGACACUGCAGAGCUGCAAACAGAGCCCGUCCACCUCGACCACCAGCAGUUUGAGGAGGAGGAGGAAGAGCUAGAGGACAUCUGGAAUCAGACUACUAACUACAGACAGAGCAUCUGCUCAGACAUCAUGUACCAGCCCAGCCAGGAAGACGCUGUUCCCUCAGACCAACCCAAAGUGCCUCAUUCUCGCUCCCCUUCACCCAAGACCCCGGACGUGCUUUACCGGAAGCUGGUCACCGCCUCUGCUCCCAACCUCCUUGUGGCCGAGUUCCGACUGCCGUCGCACAUUCAGAGCUUGCUGGGUUACGACAAGGGUCCCAGAGGUCGCCCCCCUCCACUGGCUGCAGGGGACAGGAGGUCCUGGGCAGCGUUUCCAGACAGGGACCCGGCCAGCAAGACGACAGUGAACGGUGAACGAGACGGCGUCCGAUCCGGUGAAGCUGCCGGAUGUGGCCGACAAUCAGAGAUACAUUUAUCAAUACAGAGAGGAUGA